UACGUAGGGUGCGAGCGUUGUCCGGAAUUAUUGGGCGUAAAGAGCUCGUAGGCGGUUUGUCGCGUCGACUGUGAAAACCUGGGGCUUAACUCUGGGCCUGCAGUCGAUACGGGCAGACUUGAGUUCGGUAGGGGAGACUGGAAUUCCUGGUGUAGCGGUGAAAUGCGCAGAUAUCAGGAGGAACACCGGUGGCGAAGGCGGGUCUCUGGGCCUGUACUGACGCUGAGGAGCGAAAGCGUGGGGAGCGAACAGG
rnacentral:rRNA from 1 species